rnacentral:misc_RNA from 1 species
GGACAGCUGUCCCUUCGGGGACAGCUGUCC